UAUGUAGGUGGCAAGCGUUGUCCGGAUUUACUGGGCGUAAAGCGUAUGCAGGCGGAAGGUUAAGUAGGAAGUGAAAGGGUGGAGCUCAACUCCGCCACUGCUCCCUAUACUGGCCUUCUUGAGUGCCGGAGAGGAAGAUGGAACUCCACGUGUAGCGGUGAAAUGCGUUGAGAUGUGGAGGAACACCAAUGGCGAAAGCAAUCUUCUGGACGGAAACUGACGCUGAGAUACGAAAGCCAAGGGAGCGAACAGG
rnacentral:rRNA from 1 species